GCAUUAAUGGGGUAGUGGUAACCUGGGUCGUUGCCAUAGAAUCUGUGCCUUGAUUGCAUCUCGACCCGCCGGGGGUUCGAUUCCCCCUUAAUGCA